UCUUUACUUAGCGGCGGACGGGUGAGUAACACGUGGGCAACCUACCCUAUGGAGGGGAAUAACAGGGAGAAAUCUUUGCUAAUACCGCAUAGAUCCAAGGUUUUGCAUAAAGCUUUGGAGAAAGGAGAAAUCCGCCAUAGGAUGGGCCCGCGUCCCAUUAGCUAGUUGGUGAGAUAACAGCCCACCAAGGCGACGAUGGGUAGCCGACCUGAGAGGGUGAACGGCCACAUUGGAACUGAGACACGGUCCAGACUCCUACGGGAGGCAGCAGUGGGGAAUAUUGCACAAUGGGGGGAACCCUGAUGCAGCAACGCCGCGUGAGCGAUGAAGGUCUUCGGAUUGUAAAGCUCUGUCUUCGCUGACGAUAAUGACGGUAAGCGAGGAGGAAGCCACGGCUAACUACGUGCCAGCAGCCGCGGUAAUACGUAGGUGGCGAGCGUUGUCCGGAAUUACUGGGCGUAAAGGGUGCGUAGGCGGUUUUUUAAGUGGGAUGUGAAAUCCUGAGGCUUAACUUCAGAAUUGCAUUCCAAACUGGAAGGCUAGAGUACAGGAGAGGAAAGCGGAAUUCCCAGUGUAGCGGUGAAAUGCGUAGAGAUUGGGAGGAACACCAGUGGCGAAGGCGGCUUUCUGGACUGUAACUGACGCUGAGGCACGAAAGCGUGGGGAGCAAACAGGAUUAGAUACCCUGGUAGUCCACGCCGU
rnacentral:rRNA from 1 species